rnacentral:snoRNA from 1 species
AAGUUUGAUUUGAAAGUGUAACGUCUCUCUAACCACGAUGACGAGUUAAGAUGCUUUCUUCUGAGCGUGAAUCGGGUGGUGAGCGACGAGCGAGAUUGUCUGCUCUCUGUCAUUGAUGAACGUUCCUGCUGUGCUUUGCAGUCUGGAAGAAGAAAGCAUGUUCAGAGUGGU